rnacentral:rRNA from 1 species
GACGAACGCUGGCGGCGUGCCUAAUACAUGCAAGUCGAGCGCAGGAAGCUGACGGAACUCUUCGGAGGGAAGGCAGCGGAAUGAGCGGCGGACGGGUGAGUAACACGUAAGGAACCUGCCUCAAGGAUUGGGAUAACUCCGAGAAAUCGGAGCUAAUACCGGAUAGUUCAACGGACCGCAUGGUCCGCUGAUGAAAGGCGCUUCGGCGUCACCUUGAGAUGGCCUUGCGGUGCAUUAGCUAGUUGGUGGGGUAACGGCCCACCAAGGCGACGAUGCAUAGCCGACCUGAGAGGGUGAUCGGCCACACUGGGACUGAGACACGGCCCAGACUCCUACGGGAGGCAGCAGUAGGGAAUCUUCCACAAUGGACGAAAGUCUGAUGGAGCAACGCCGCGUGAGUGAUGAAGGUUUUCGGAUCGUAAAACUCUGUUGUAAGGGAAGAACACGUACGAGAGGGAAUGCUCGUACCUUGACGGUACCUUACGAGAAAGCCACGGCUAACUACGUGCCAGCCGCCGCCGUAA